rnacentral:rRNA from 1 species
UACGAAGGGGGCUAGCGUUGUUCGGAAUUACUGGGCGUAAAGCGCCCGUAGGCUGAUAUUUAAGUCAGGGGUGAAAUCCCAGAGCUCAACUCUGGAACUGCCUUUGAUACUGGGUAUCUCGAGUAUGGAAGAGGUGAGUGGAAUUCCGAGUGUAGAGGUGAAAUUCGUAGAUAUUCGGAGGAACACCAGUGGCGAAGGCGGCUCACUGGUCCAUUACUGACGCUGAGGUGCGAAAGCGUGGGGAGCAAACAGG